CCUGAGCGCUGCUGGGUGAAUGUUCUGGUGUUUGUGCUGGGGCAGGAUAAAGGCCAGUCAGACACUGCACCUCACCUUCCAACAGCAUUUUAGUCAUUGUGGCUUUCACUUACACAGCCCGGUUGUCUGAAAUGUGUCAGGGGAAAAAUGCUGACGUGACCAUUCGUGUGCUAGGAAUUCAUUUAUGCACUCCUUGGGAGCACUGUACAGCACAGAGCCAUGGGGAACACACCCAUCAUAGAGAGAACAGCAGUGACACCAGUACUCCAUAUGGACAAGCAGUGGACUUCUGGGGUGACGGAGGACCUGCAGUGGAAGUAAAGGCAUGAAUGGCUGUCCUCAGGCCUGCAGGUUAAGAAGCAUCUAGAAGACAAACCAGACUUCCCAAGCCUCUGUUUGAGACCUGUGUAGCACACAGCCUACCAAAGAAUUCCUCUGGCCCGGUGUGCUGUGUGGGUGAAAGAAACGAGUUUGUCCUGCCUCGCUGCUCUCUUCUUGGCCUGAGAUCAGCACGUUGUUGAGCACGCAGCAGAUCGUGACCAGAGGCAAUGGCCUCUUUCAACAGCCCCGCAAUACCGUAAUACGUGCUGCGUUGAGAGCUGCUGACUUUAAAGGUGAGAAUGGUGAUGCACUGAGGAUUCCUGACUGGCAACUGCUCUCCGCAUGAGCAUACAGCAGGGCACCUCACACACGUUUGACAAAGAAAGUUUGCAAAUAAAGAACUAGCUACGGGGAAGCACAAAGGCAUUGCAGUAGAAGGGAGACCUGCAGACAUGGUUAGACAUGGCUACCAUAUCCAGGUUGCCUGAGAUUGGUUGUCUGUCCUUUUUUCCAACCAGAAUUGUUUCCCAGGGAGAUUCUGAGAACUGUGUAUGUUUAGGAUUUUGAAUGUGUAUGUCUAGGAUUCUUGGUAUCUAAUAAUCUCAUCAUGUUAUUGCAUACGUGCAGCAGUCUCAGCCUUGGAUGUCCCAUGUCCAGCAAUCCCAGAGACCUCAGAGCAAACACCAUAGGCCCAUAUUCUAUAGGCAGUGUAAUGCCAACAAAACUAAGGGAGUGCUCUACUACUCCUACAAAGUGUUGCAUGAACAGACCACACAAUUACUUUGAGCAUUCCCAGCAAGUAUAAGGCUUUCUGUAUUCACAUGAUGCAACUGGAGCACCUUUUUCCGUAUCAGAAAUAGAGUAGCCAAAGGGUGGGAUAAAGAGCCACCAGAGCAGUAUCCCAGCCAACUGGCUGCUGUACAGUGGCCACAAUCUCACUUUAACGACUAAUACACCUCUUCCUCCCUCCCUUGUGAUGUGCAGCCACCACCUUCCAGCUGCUGCAAACCAGUUUCCCCUGCUAAAUAGCAAUUGCCAAGAAUUUCCUCGGUAACAGCGGCAGCUUCUGAAGUGAAGCUUAAGAACAGAAAGGGAGUACUGGCAAUGGGCUUGCCCAGGUGAGCUGCAGAACAGGGAUUUAGCAACACAAGGCAAAAAAUAGCAGUGUAUUCCAGAUCAACACAUAUGCAUAGCAAAGGUAGGGAGGACAGGGAGGUAUCACUGUAGCAUUUGCAGGUAGCAGCAUAAUUCUGUUGGCUUCUGCUGAAUCAUCUUAUUUGUACUACUUAAGAGAAAAAUAGGGCUGUGCUUUUCACCUAUUCUUUAAUUACAACUUCUUGAUUAUAUCGAUGAUUUUCAACUUCAUGUCAAUUAAACCCAUUAAUUCCAUAAAUGAAGAGCAAAUUUGGAUAAAAUGGAUGGGAUUUGUUACAACAGGGUAGUAACUGGAAGGCAGCCCAAGAUAAGUAGUCAAAGUCUGCAGUAAUCUAUCCUCAGCUGAGUUGUACACACCUGUUCCAUACCCUUCUCCUUCUGGAAUUAACUUUCAGAGUGGCACUUCAAGUACGGUAAAAAAUUGUUGUCAGCUGACUGCUCCCACUAAAAUCUGCAAGAGGGAUGUGACCAUAAAAGAAAAGUACACAGUAACCUUUCCAAAGUAUGCCUGUAAUUUCAGAAUUGUGUUUUCCCAGAGCUGAGCCUCCUUCUGCCAAGAAUGAAGUCUUUAUCAUGGUUGCUGUAUUGAAAAGUGAGACAUAGGUGAGAAAGAAAAAUACUUUUAGAGCAUUUGAAGAUUAUUUCAGUUAUGGUUUUAAAUUUAUACAGGAUGUAACUAACAUUUCUGUCUGAAUUUACCCACUGUAGUAAGAAUAGAUCUUAAUGACUGUUUAAAGCCUGAGCAGUUUAUGAAAGAAAUUAUAUAACAUGGUGUUGUAGAAGCAGUGGAUUGAAUUCAGUGACCUAAAAAAUACUUACAUAUAUUUCUGUCUUAGGAAGUUCCUAGGUCUACCUGUCAGCAGCAGGAUAUAUUCCCAGGAAAUCAAUUAUACAUGUAAACAAAAAUAUCAUGGAGAUUAAAGAACAUAUGAAAGAGCAAGCACAAUUCUUCUUUCACAACACCAUGAAUCAAGAGUAACUUCACUGAAGCCAAUGAGUUACAGUGGUGUGAGUGAGAAAAGAACCAGCUCCAUUGUCUGAAAAUUACUUGGGCCACCCAUGGAGUCCAAUCAGAGGAACUGCAGGCAGAUAAUAUUGCAGCAUUUAAUUCAGAAAUCCCAAGUCUGAAUAGAGGAGACUGAAAAGAAAGGAUCUGAAUUUGGUUUUGGUUAAAAAAAAAA
ensembl:lncRNA uncharacterized LOC115496215